UACGAAGGGGGCUAGCGUUGUUCGGAAUCACUGGGCGUAAAGCGCACGUAGGCGGAUGUGCCAGUCAGGGGUGAAAUCCGGAGCUCAACUCCGGAACUGCCUCUGAUACAGCACGUCUUGAGUUCGAGAGAGGUGGGUGGAAUUCCUAGUGUAGAGGUGAAAUUCGUAGAUAUUAGGGAAGAACACCGGUGGCGAAGGCGGCCCACUGGCUCGAUACUGACGCUGAGGUGCGAAAGCGUGGGGAGCAAACAGGG
rnacentral:rRNA from 1 species